rnacentral:rRNA from 1 species
CUUCCGCCGGACCUGACUGCUAUCGGAUUGAUACUAAGCCAUGCGAGUCAUUGUAGCAAUACAAGGCAGACGGCUCAGUAACGCGUAGUCAACCUACCCUAUGGACGGGAAUAACCUCGGGAAACUGAGUAUAAUGCCCGAUAGAACAUUAUACCUGGAAUGGUUUAUGUUCCAAAUGAUUUAUCGCCGUAGGAUGGGACUGCGGCCUAUCAGUUUGUUGGUGAGGUAAUGGCCCACCAAGACUAUUACAGGUACGGGCUCUGAGAGGAGUGGCCCGGAGAUGGGUACUGAGACACGGACCCAGGCCCUAUGGGGCGCAGCAGGCGAGAAAACUUUGCAAUGUGCGAAAGCACGACAAGGUUAAUCCGAGUGGUUUCUGCUAAAGGAACCUUUUGUCAGUCCUAGAAACACUGAUGAAUAAGGGGUGGGCAAGUUCUGGUGU